GGAUCCAUGGCGGUCUCCUCCAGGGUUGGUGGCGGGAAAUCUGGCGCCUCAUCCAUUGAGGGCGGUUGGCCUUCACUCUCCUAUGUGAACGCAGCCACGCACCACGCACGCACGCACCCACAGUGAGAGACAGAGUGUCCGGAGAGGUGGCUGAUGAAGGCUCCUGUUCCCUCUGCUGCCUCGCUUGCUGCAGCCACAGGGAGGAGGAAGGCAGGCUUCAUCUUGAUGGUAAAACAAAUAGCCAAACCUAUGAACUGCACCUCCAUGGCUGCUUCUCUGCGCAACAAGAAGCCUUCACGCUCUCUGACUAUGGCACUAUUUCAUUUCCAAUUUUAUAAUCUUAUUGAUUGACAGAAUAUAUACAAUUCAUUAGUGUUUCAGCCACAAAUAAAUCUGACAGAAGCUGUGAUGUAAAAACAGCUAAUAGAGUCUUAAUUCUCUAAUUCUUCCAUAAAAAUUUCUGAGUGAUCUGGAUGUUCCAAAAAUAAAGUAAUGAGUAACUGUAUGAAAGCAAUCACUGGUGUCUUCAUUCUUGAAGUCUUUGUUAACUACCAUCUCUACAGUUUUCAUCCUUCAAAUUAAGCUAUGAAAUUAAAAACUGAAUUAAUGAACAUAUCUGGAAUUAAUUAACAUUCUCUGGAUCAGCAAUAUUUUUACGGUAAGAAGGAACAGUUUCAAUCUCCAAGACACCACAUGUAAGUUAUAAAAAUAACACAUCUUUUUCUCACUGCAAUACUGAAAAGUCAAUUUUUUUUUCCCUGAAACCUAGAACCACACAAUUUAUACCAUUAGUUCUUAACCUGGUGGAGGGGGAGAGCACAAGCUCUUGGAAAAGCAGGAAUUUUUCUAAUUAUAUUUGUCUUUCUUUUUAAUGAGAGCAUGGUCAAAUAAUGAGUUUGUGAAAAAUACAAAAGUAUCGCUUUUUUCUUUAAAAUCUGGGAGGGAAUUGUACCCAUAGAUGCAAGGGAGGGGGAGCAUGAAGGAAAGGGCAAAUUCCUAGAGAGGACAUGGUAGUAAAAGGUUAAGAACCAUGGUUCAUACCAAUAUUACCCAAGUAAGUUUCUUGAAAAACAAAUAUCCCACCUCUUCUCAGUACUUCUGCAUAAAAAAAUUCUUUGGAAAAAGCAAUGGAGAUAUUUAGUCUAGUUAUACCUAAUAGAUAUGAGUAACCUCUCCACCAACACAUAUUUGCAGUAUAUAAUUAAAAGCAGGAGCAAGAAAUUUUUUCACUCCACCUGCAACAAGAAUUUGUCACCCCAAACUGUGACACAAGAAGAGAUCAUAUGUUGUAAAUCACAGAUCCAAGCAGCAGAUGAAAUGUGUAUCUUUCUUUCACACCUAAGCAACAUGUUCUUUCCACUUAAUUUGUAUGGAAGAAAAAUCAUGCAAUAAGAGAAAAUAGUGUGCCUUCGAUGCAUGGCUUCCUGUGACACACCACCCAGCCAUUGCCUCUGGUAGCAUGUAGCCCCUCUCACCUCCUGGUUUGACACAUCAGGACU